GCCCUACGGGGGGCAGCAGUAGGGAAUUUUCGUCAAUGGGCGCAAGCCUGAACGAGCAAUGCCGCGUGAACGAGGAAGGUCUUCGGAUCGUAAAGUUCUGUUGAAGGGGAAAAAGAGCGGAGAGAGGAAAUGCUUUCUGAUUGAUAUUACCCUUCGAGGAAGUCACGGCUAACUACGUGCCAGCAGCCGCGGUAAUACGUAGGUGGCGAGCGUUAUCCGGAAUGAUUGGGCGUAAAGGGUGCGUAGGCGGCCUGCUAAGUCUGGAGUGAAACGCAUGAGCUCAACUCAUGCAUGGCUUUGGAAAC
rnacentral:rRNA from 1 species